rnacentral:rRNA from 1 species
GCUUAACACAUGCAAGUCGAACGAUGAUGCCCAGCUUGCUGGGCGGAUUAGUGGCGAACGGGUGAGUAAUACGUGAGUAACCUGCCCUUGACUCUGGGAUAAGCCUGGGAAACUGGGUCUAAUACUGGAUACUACCUCUUGCCGCAUGGUGGGUGGUGGAAAAGGUUUUACUGGUUUUGGAUGGGCUCACGGCCUAUCAGCUUGUUGGUGGGGUAGUGGCUCACCAAGGCGACGACGGGUAGCCGGCCUGAGAGGGUGACCGGCCACACUGGGACUGAGACACGGCCCAGACUCCUACGGGAGGCAGCAGUGGGGAAUAUUGCACAAUGGGCGGAAGCCUGAUGCAGCGACGCCGCGUGAGGGAUGACGGCCUUCGGGUUGUAAACCUCUUUCAGUAGGGAAGAAGCGAGAGUGACGGUACCUGCAGAAGAAGCGCCGGCUAACUACGUGCCAGCAGCCGCGGUAAUACGUAGGGCGCAAGCGUUGUCCGGAAUUAUUGGGCGUAAAGAGCUCGUAGGCGGUUUGUCGCGUCUGCUGUGAAAGCCCGGGGCUCAACCCCGGGUCUGCAGUGGGUACGGGCAGACUAGAGUGCAGUAGGGGAGACUGGAAUUCCUGGUGUAGCGGUGAAAUGCGCAGAUAUCAGGAGGAACACCGAUGGCGAAGGCAGGUCUCUGGGCUGUUACUGACGCUGAGGAGCGAAAGCAUGGGGAGCGAACAGGAUUAGAUACCCUGGUAGUCCAUGCCGUAAACGUUGGGCACAAGGUGUGGGGGACAUUCCACGUUUUCCGCGCCGUAGCUAACGCAUUAAGUGCCCCGCCUGGGGAGUACGGCCGCAAGGCUAAAACUCAAAGGAAUUGACGGGGGCCCGCACAAGCGGCGGAGCUUGCGGAUUAAUUCGAUGCAACGCGAAGAACCUUACCAAGGCUUGACAUUCACCGGACCGCCCCAGAGAUGGGGUUUCCCUUCGGGGCUGGUGGACAGGUGGUGCAUGGUUGUCGUCAGCUCGUGUCGUGAGAUGUUGGGUUAAGUCCCGCAACGAGCGCAACCCUCGUUCUAUGUUGCCAGCACGUGAUGGUGGGGACUCAUAGGAGACUGCCGGGGCCAACUCGGAGGAAGGUGGGGAUGACGUCAAAUCAUCAUGCCCCUUAUGUCUUGGGCUUCACGCAUGCUACAAUGGCCGGUACAAAGGGUUGCGAUACUGUGAGGUGGAGCUAAUCCCAAAAAGCCGGUCUCAGUUCGGAUUGAGGUCUGCAACUCGACCUCAUGAAGUCGGAGUCGCUAGUAAUCGCAGAUCAGCAACGCUGCGGUGAAUACGUUCCCGGGCCU